GUCGUCGGUGAGGAGCUGGAGUUUUUUUAAGAUCAUUAUUAUCAUUUUGGAGUUGAUUUAGUAAACCUUGGGAAGAUUUCAUUCCUAAUCUGAUAUUUGUUUUGCAGAAUGCUGUGCAUGCAGUACUUGCAAACCUGGAUGGCCUUGUUCUUCACCACUUCACCACCCAGCAUUUCAACAUUUUUCCCUGUAUGCUUCUCUGAAUAUAACUUUAAAGGGGUAGUUUACCUAAAAAUAAAAUUGUAGUUCCAAACCUGCAGAGCUGUUAUCUUUCUUCUGAAGAAACACAGAAGAUGUCAGGACCCAAGAGCAAAGAAGGGACCCAAACUGGACCCAAUCAAAGACAUUUUUUUUGUGUUCCACAGAAGAAAAAGUUUUUACGAAAGUGAAAAAUACCAAUGCCUGGAACACACUGGAGAAACUGUUGGUAUCGAAAGGUCCACAGUGUGCUAGUGAGCCAACGAACACAGUCCAGACCACUGCAAUGGAUCAUCCAGAAGAGGGCAAUGUGAACCAACCCAAGCAUAAUAAACAAACCAAAGAGGGUUUUCAG